rnacentral:misc_RNA from 1 species
AACGCACAUUGCGCCCCCUGGUAUUCCGGAGGGCACACCUGUUCGAGCGUCAUUAUCAACAAUCAAGCUGUGCUUGGUAAUUGGGGAUCGCCCGCGGGCCACGGCCUCGGGGCGCCUCCGAAAGCGAUGGGCGUGGCGUGCACCCGGCUUCGAGCGUGAUAGCGGUUCUUGACAAUCCGAUCGCUCUGGAAGUCCGGCCGUCCCCUGCCUCCGGUGCGUGGCACCGACAAUCUCUCCACAGUUGACCUCGGAUCAGGUGGGGUUACCCGCUGAACUUAA